GACGAACGCUGGCGGCGUGCUUAACACAUGCAAGUCGAGCGGUAAGGCCCUUUCGGGGGUACACGAGCGGCGAACGGGUGAGUAACACGUGGGUGACCUGCCCUCAGCUCUGGGAUAAGCCUGGGAAACCGGGUCUAAUACCGGAUAUGACUCCAUGACGCAUGUUGUGGGGUGGAAAGCCUUGUGCGGCUGAGGAUGGGCCCGCGGCCUAUCAGCUUGUUGGUGGGGUGANGGCCUACCAAGGCGACGACGGGUAGCCGGCCUGAGAGGGCGACCGGCCACACUGGGACUGAGACACGGCCCAGACUCCUACGGGAGGCAGCAGUGGGGAAUCUUGCGCAAUGGGCGAAAGCCUGACGCAGCGACGCCGCGUGAGGGAUGAC
rnacentral:rRNA from 1 species